GUCCAUGCCGUAAACGGUGGGCACUAGGUGUGGGGACUUUCAACGGUUUCCGUGCCGAAGCUAACGCAUUAAGUGCCCCGCCUGGGGAGUACGGCCGCAAGGCUAAAACUCAAAGGAAUUGACGGGGCCCGCACAAGCGGCGGAGCAUGUUGCUUAAUUCGAGGCAACGCGAAGAACCUUACCUGGGUUUGACAUGUACCGAAAAGCCAUAGAGAUAUGGUGUCCUUCGGGCGGUACACAGGUGGUGCAUGGCUGUCGU
rnacentral:rRNA from 1 species